UCGGAUAUGGUGUAACGACUAACAUUGCCGCCUUUCAUUUGCAAAUGUGCUUCAUCUUUCGCGGCAGCUCUGGGUUCGAUUCCCCGCAUCUGAA